GGGGCCAAUGAACCUUCAGAACCCAGGCUAGCCCACCCAGCAGGCCUUGCCUGCUCCUCGUACCCUAUAAGAGUAGGUACUCUUCAAGCAGAAGGCCUGAGAUCUCCGAGGGCACAGGUAAUCUUGACCUCAGCCUCUGAAACUUCCAGUCAACAAUGCCUUUUCUAGAAGGGUCGCCAAGACUUCCAGGCAAUUCCAGCCAAGAAAAAGCUUCUCAGACUCCAGUGCCGGCUCAAGGAUUUCACAGCAGGAGGCCAGACUUCCUCCAGCCAUGGGGAUGAUGGACUACAUCAGACUGACCCUUCCUACACACACUCUGCCCAAGAAACAGACCUCCAUGGAGCUCCAGAUGAGGAACUCAGAGACCAAACCUGUCCUGAUGGGGAGCCCAAAGACCCUGUGGAAGUGGAUGAGCCUAAAGAUGAGUCUGCUAAAUCCAUUUUUAAUAUGAAACUUAUGAUGUGUGAGAUUUCUGAGCUCACAGAGCCAGACCAAGCUGCAGAAUAUCCUGCCAGAAGAAAUGACCAAGCUGAAGAACAUCCUGCCAGAAGAAAUGACCAAGCUGAAGAACAUCCUGCCAGGAGAAGAGACCAAGCUGAAGAACAUCCUGCCAGGAAAAGAGACCAAGCUGAAGAACAUCCUGCCAGGAAAAGAGACCAAGCUGAAGAACAUCCUGCCAGGAAAAGAGACCAAGCUGAAGAACAUCCUCCCAGGAAAAGAGACCAAGCUGAAGAACAUCCUCCCAGGAGAAGAGACCAAGCUGAAGAACAUCCUGCCGGGAGAAGCAGAGUUUACUCAUGGAGACAGAGGCAGAGGAUGGAGAGACCCUUGUACAACAGUGAAGGACCAUACCCGAACACCUAUACUGUGCUGAGAUUGUACUCCCCCUUCAUUCCAAUAGGUUUAGUGCCUGUGGGGAUGGUUUGUAGGUAUCAGGAUGGCAAUGUGCACUGGGUCUCUGCCACCAACGCCGGCACAGUCCUCAUUCCCGUGGUUGGCACAGGCUCAUACUUCAUGCAGACUUCUUUUGUGUCACACGUAUUCCAGAACCCCUGGUUCUUCACCCAGUGAAUGGUGUCACCUUGUGUCAGUACUCCUGGGUAGAAGAGCACACAGGACCCCCAGUUUUUUCACCUACAUUGCUCAGUGAUUGGUGUCACUCCUCCCAGAUAGAACAGCUCACAGAAGAAAAGUUCAUUCUUUCUCAUGGUUUAGAGUUAUAGUUCAUCACAGCUGGGACUUCAGGGCACCAGGCACUUGAAACAGCUGGUCAUAUGGCACCUGAAAUCAGAAUCAUAGUGCUUUCUAGGCUCCCAGAUGAUUCUAGAUUCAAAUUGACAGGUAACAGUAACCAUCAGACUUCUCUUCUCACCUGGAAUUUGACAUUUAUAUAAUCUUGAUCACACUCUUCCUAGAUCCCCCUUAACAAUCCCCUCCCCAGACCCCCCCUUAACACAUCCCAUCUUCACUUCCUAUCUCUAUUUAAAAAAAAAUCUGUCAUGCAGCCCGAAAGUACAUGAAUAUAGGGGUCAUUCACUGGAGUAGGGUCAACCUACUGGAGAAAAAUGACUCUUCUCCCCUAGUAACCAUCAACCACCAAUAGUUCCUUGGCUGUGGGUGGAGCCUCAUGAGCCCCUCUCCACCCAUGCUGCAAUGGUGACUGGCUUGGUCUUGCAGCACAGGACUUUCCCAGAAAUGUAGUGCCCUCAGAGAUCCUGAUGCUGCACCCAUGAGAUCAUAUAUGUGUGUAUAGAAAGAGGCAAUUCCAGACCUCAGAUGGAAAAUGGCUGCUGGGAUGCAGGAUUACAGGUUUGACUCAUCAGUGGAUGGGACUGAGGGACACUUCGGGACAUUCUGGGUAGAGGCAGCCUUGGGCUGAAGCAAACAGCUCCAGAAGCGGAGCCGGCCAUGCCCAGAGCCAGAGAGGAAGAGAGGACCAGAGAUGUUCUCUGAAGCAGAAGGCCAUCCUGAUGUGGAACCCUUCCUUGCAGUAUGGGGACAGCAAGAACCCUGGGUCCUGAGAUAUUUUUUAUUAUGACAUUUUAUUGUGUGCAUGUAUGUGGACACCUAUGAGUCGCAGCAUAUGACUACGGCAGUCAGAGGAUAGCUUGCAGGGUCAGCUCUCCUUUUAUAAUGAGCAGACCUGAGGCUUGGACCCAGGCUUGGCAGAGUGCUUUUGCCCUCUGCAACAUCUCACCAGCCUGGGAACCCUGAGUGAGUUGGAAGGAAAUAUGAAGUUCAAAACAGAUUGAGGAAUGAGUGAAUCAAAGGCAACUGGACGAAUCAAACAAAGGCACAGGGAUUUACAGAAGGAAACAAGGAGAGAGCAAGCCACACUUAACAUUUUAAGAGGCUGGGGGGUGGUGGUGGUGGUGGGGCACUUGGGAGGCCGAGGCAGAUAGAUCUGAGUCUACAUAGUGAGUUCUAGGUCAGCUAGAUCUACAUAAUGAGACUCUCUCUCUCUCUCUCUCUCUCUCUCUCUCUCUCACACACACACACACACACACACACACACACACAAAGGUUUGGUAAUUGCCUUUUGGUCUCGUUGAGAAUAUUUUAGAUGUUUUAAAAUUUGUUCAUCAAUGGGAAUUUGCUGUUGGUUUCUUCAUAGAUGUCUCUGAUCAAGUUAAAGGGUUCCUGUCUUCGGUACUCCAUAGAGGAUGAAUUGUAAAUUGAAUUUUAUACUUAAUGGAAGUUUUCUGACCAGAUCAUCUUGAUAUUGGUUUCUAAGAGAAAAUGUCCAAGAAGCAUUUUUAUCCUGAUUUUUUUUAAUGUAGUCAACUAUUCUUUUAAAUAAACCUUUCCCCGG
ensembl:lncRNA